CUUCCUUGGGCUCGCAGUAGUCUGUGAGACUUACUGUGUGGUUAUUGUGCGAUUUACUGUGUGAUCUACUUCGUGACUUGUAGGACGUGACCGGCGGGGCGCCGCUGGCAACUUCUCCUCGCGCCUGAGGUCGGCGGUGUUGCAAGCGGAGAAUUGUGGAAAUUCACACAACAAGAUGGUCUGAGCCGAGGUUUGAUCCCAGGUCUGCAGGUCGCCGGUCUGCGUCCUUCUCCACCGGGUCAUCUUCAGUACCGUUGAACACAAACAACCAGAGAGGAAGAAGAUCAGACUGAGAGAGGAACCUGCAGAAGAUUCACCUCCACCAGAUGGAUGGACUUCCUGGCUUUUGAUCAUCUAAUCUUUUGGUUGUUGAGCUGCUCAUCUCAUCAUUUAUAUAAUAAAGCAACUCGAAACUG